rnacentral:rRNA from 1 species
AACACAUGCAAGUCGAGCGGAAAGGCUCUUCGGAGUACUCGAGCGGCGAACGGGUGAGUAACACGUGGGUAAUCAACCCCUGACAUCGGGAUACCCCCAGGAAACCCGGAUCAAUACCGAAUAAGGUGCGGGAGUCGCUGGACGCCGUACCAAAGGUAGCUUCGGCCUCCGGUCAGGGACGAGCCCGCGGCCCAUUAGCUUGUUGGUGAGGUAACGGCUCACCAAGGCGACGAUGGGUAGCUGGUCUGAGAGGACGAUCAGCCACACUGGGACUGAGACACGGCCCAGACUCCUACGGGAGGCAGCAGUGGGGAAUAUUGCGCAAUGGGCGAAAGCCUGACGCAGCAACGCCGCGUGCGGGAAGAAGGCUCUCGGGUCGUAAACCGCUUUCAGCAGGGACGAAGCUUCCGGGGUUAAUAGCCUACGGGGUGACGGUACCUGCAGAAGAAG